rnacentral:rRNA from 1 species
UACGUAGGGGGCUAGCGUUGUCCGGAAUCAUUGGGCGUAAAGCGCGUGUAGGCGGCCCGGUAAGUCCGCUCUGAAAGUCGGGGGCUCAACCCUCGGAUGCGGGUGGAUACUGUCGGGCUUGAGUGCGGAAGAGGCGAGUGGAAUUCCUGGUGUAGCGGUGAAAUGCGCAGAUAUCAGGAGGAACACCAAUGGCGAAGGCAGCUCGCUGGGACGUGACUGACGCUGAGGAGCGAAAGCGUGGGGAGCGAACAGG